AUUUAAAAGACUGACCGUGAACAUAUUCUAUAAUUGGAAUGAUACAGAGAUUAGCAUGGCCCCUGUGCAAGGGUGACAUGAAAAUCCAUGAAGCAUUCCAUAGUUUC